UACGAAGGGUGCAAGCGUUACUCGGAAUUACUGGGCGUAAAGCGUGCGCAGGCGGUUCGUUGUGUCGGUGGUGAAAGCCCCGGGCUUAACCUGGGAAUGGCCAUGGAAACUGGCGAACUGGAGUGUGGCAGAGGGGGGUGGAAUUCCGCGUGUAGCAGUGAAAUGCGUAGAGAUGCGGAGGAACACCGAUGGCGAAGGCAGCCCCCUGGGCUAGCACUGACGCUCAGGCACGAAAGCGUGGGGAGCAAACAGG
rnacentral:rRNA from 1 species